GCGGCUAACACAUGCAGUCGAGCGGCAGCACGGGUACUUGUACCUGGUGGCGAGCGGCGGACGGGUGAGUAAUGCCUAGGAAUCUGCCUGGUAGUGGGGGAUAACGCUCGGAAACGGACGCUAAUACCGCAUACGUCCUACGGGAGAAAGCAGGGGACCUUCGGGCCUUGCGCUAUCAGAUGAGCCUAGGUCGGAUUAGCUAGUUGGUGAGGUAAUGGCUCACCAAGGCGACGAUCCGUAACUGGUCUGAGAGGAUGAUCAGUCACACUGGAACUGAGACACGGUCCAGACUCCUACGGGAGGCAGCAGUGGGGAAUAUUGGACAAUGGGCGAAAGCCUGAUCCAGCCAUGCCGCGUGUGUGAAGAAGGUCUUCGGAUUGUAAAGCACUUUAAGUUGGGAGGAAGGGCAUUUACCUAAUACGUAAGUGUUUUGACGUUACCGACAGAAUAAGCACCGGCUAACUCUGUGCCAGCAGCCGCGGUAAUACAGAG
rnacentral:rRNA from 1 species